rnacentral:misc_RNA from 1 species
AACAUCGCGCACCUGCGGGAACCUGCGGAGGGAUCAUUACCGAGUUGCAAAGCUCCCAAACCAUUGUGAACCUACCUUCAACCGUUGCUUCGGCGGGCCGGUCUCCGCGACCGCCCGGCCUCCCUCUGGGGGCGCCCGCCGGAGGUUACCUAAAAACCCUUUGCGUUUGUGUGGCCUCUCUGAGUCUUCUGUACUGAAUAAGUCAAAACUUUUAACAAUGGAUCUCAGAUCGGAAGAGCA